UCUUCCCACCACUAGCAGCUACAGAGGAAGGGGAAGUCUGUGGCUGACAAGGCCCACCGCCGCUACUGUGGUGGCAGAGAAGGUGGUGGUCGCGGUUAGGGCAGCCACAAGACACCCAUCAUCUGGGUGUUGAGUGCAAGACAUCACAUGCAAGCUGGAUUGUGUUAGACAAGAUUUGAAGCAUGAGAAGCGUUGUGGGGGAGAAGCUUCAGUGCAAAAUUGUUGUUCUAUAGGGAUCAACAUCCUCAAGAUCACUUGGAAAACUUUCACGAAAAACUCGUAAUGCAAGCAUAUGUUUUAUUGGAAAAGUUUUCCAAGCUGAAUUUCUGAAAGCCUCCUCACUGUUUUAGUUAUGCUGAAUUGGAAUUUGCAACUAGGGGUUUCUCACAAGUAAAUUUCUUAGCUAAAGGUGGAUUUUGGUCUGUUCAUCGACAUGUCCUU